rnacentral:rRNA from 1 species
UAUAUAUUGGAAGGACUUCGGUCUGGAAGGUAUGUAUUCUAGUGGCGAACGGGUGAGUAACACGUGGGUAAUCUGCCUUGUAGUAAGGGAUAACAAGCCGAAAGGCUUGCUAAUACCGGAUGAGCUUUAGAUGUCGCAUGAUGUUUAAAGGAAAGGGGUAACUCGCUACAAGAUGAACCUGCGUCCCAUUAGCUAGUUGGUAGGGUAAAGGCCUACCAAGGCGACGAUGGGUAGCCGGCCUGAGAGGGUGAUCGGCCACACUGGAACUGAGACACGGUCCAGACUCCUACGGGGGGCAGCAGUGGGGAAUAUUCGGCAAUGGGCGAAAGCCUGACCGAGCGACGCCGCGUGAGCGAAGAAGGCCUUCGGGUCGUAAAGCUCUGUCUAGUGGGAAGAAAAAAAUGACGGUACCACUGGAGGAAGCCACGGCUAACUACGUGCCAGCAGCCGCGGUAAUACGUAGGUGGCGAGCGUUGUCCGGAAUUACUGGGCGUAAAGGGCGCGUAGGCGGAUCAUUAAGUUGGACGUGAAAUAUCCCGGCUCA